UGACAACACAGCAGACACUCAAAUAUGCUUGAUAAAGUAAGCCAUUGGUUAUUGAAGCCAAGCAUACCAUGAUCGGAUAAAAGGGUGGGCAGUGCCAGGCCCCUGCGUCACUCUCUGCCCACCUGGCAGCCACAGGAGGGCAGCCACGAGCCUGACAGUAUGUCAGGAGAGCAGCAAGCACAGAACCUAAAGAGUCUAUCAACGCACCGUGAACUAGGCCACCACUGCAGGGAAGACAUCAACUGUACCAGUGAGAGAAAGGAUGUGGAGAGUAAUAUUUUUCCACCUUUGACUUUCAUCCCCCUUCCCACUCUCUGGGAAUGUCCAGGCAUUUCAGAGAGACUGAACCUGGGAUGAGAGGAGGGAAUGUCUUACAUAGUUCCAUUGCUAAAGAUCUUCCUACAGUAGCCCACAUUCUCCUUCAAUAUGUGAAUAUCUCUCUUCAUUAUUUCUCAAAGGAACCAAGUGAAAAUGUUCUAUUAUGAGCUCAAUCAUUUAGCCUAUUUUCUUUGAUUGUUUCAUCUUGGGCUGGUGAUUUUAGAUAUGACUUUUUACACAA